ACGAAAUUACAUCAACUAAUAUCAUAUCAAUUGAAUAAAUGACAAAGAAUAGCAAAGGUGGGGAGAAAAAUCUGCCCCACAAAUAAACAUAUAUACAUAUCUACUUCAAAAGAUAACAUUAAGGGAGGUAUGUGGGUGGGAAUUUUUAACAAAUUGUUUGAUAAGAA